rnacentral:rRNA from 1 species
UACAGAGGGUGCGAGCGUUAAUCGGAAUUACUGGGCGUAAAGCGCGCGUAGGCGGUUAAUCAAGUUGGAUGUGAAAGCCCCGGGCUCAACCUGGGAAUGGCAUUCAAAACUGAUAGGCUAGAGUACAGGAGAGGUGAGUGGAAUUUCCGGUGUAGCGGUGAAAUGCGUAGAGAUCGGAAGGAACACCAGUGGCGAAGGCGACUCACUGGACUGAUACUGACACUGAGGUGCGAAAGCGUGGGGAGCAAACAGG